rnacentral:rRNA from 1 species
UACGUAGGGUGCAAGCGUUGUCCGGAAUUAUUGGGCGUAAAGAGCUCGUAGGCGGUCUGUCGCGUCUGCUGUGAAAACUCGGGGCUUAACCCCGGGCCUGCAGUGGGUACGGGCAGACUAGAGUGCGGUAGGGGAGACUGGAAUUCCUGGUGUAGCGGUGAAAUGCGCAGAUAUCAGGAGGAACACCAGCGGCGAAGGCGGCGCUCUGGGCCUUACCUGACGCUCAGGUGCGAAAGCUAGGGGAGCGAACAGG